ACAGCAGCAGCCGCGGUAAUACGGAGGGUGCGAGCGUUAAUCGGAAUUACUGGGCGUAAAGCGUACGCAGGCGGUUUGUUAAGUCAGAUGUGAAAUCCCCGAGCUUAACUCGGGAACUGCAUUUGAAACUGGCAAGCUAGAGUCUCGUAGAGGGGGGUAGAAUUCCAGGUGUAGCGGUGAAAUGCGUAGAGAUCUGGAGGAAUACCGGUGGCGAAGGCGGCCCCCUGGACGAAGACUGACGCUCAGGUACGAAAGCGUGGGGAGCAAACAGGAUUAGAUACCCCGGUAGUCCCUGUCUCUUAUAC
rnacentral:rRNA from 1 species